rnacentral:rRNA from 1 species
GAUGAACGCUGGCGGCGUGCCUAAUACAUGCAAGUCGAGCGAACAGACGAGGAGCUUGCUCCUCUGACGUUAGCGGCGGACGGGUGAGUAACACGUGGAUAACCUACCUAUAAGACUGGGAUAACUUCGGGAAACCGGAGCUAAUACCGGAUAAUAUAUUGAACCGCAUGGUUCAAUAGUGAAAGACGGUUUUGCUGUCACUUAUAGAUGGAUCCGCGCCGCAUUAGCUAGUUGGUAAGGUAACGGCUUACCAAGGCAACGAUGCGUAGCCGACCUGAGAGGAUGAUCAGCCACACUGGAACUGAGACACGGUCCAGACUCCUACGGGAGGCAGCAGUAGGGAAUCUUCCGCAAUGGGCGAAAGCCUGACGGAGCAACGCCGCGUGAGUGAUGAAGGUCUUCGGAUCGUAAAACUCUUUUAUUAGGGAAGAACAAAUGUGUAAGUAACUAUGCACGUCUUGACGGUACCUAAUCAGAAAGCCACGGCUAACUACGUG